rnacentral:rRNA from 1 species
GGGUAACCGGAAGGCAUAUUUAGUGGCGAACGGGUGAGUAAUGCAUGAGAACGUAUCCUCAAGAGGGGGACAACAUUGGGAAACCGAUGCUAAUACCCCAUAAGCCGGGAGGUAAAAGGAGCAAUCCGCUUGAGGAGCGGUUCAUGUCCUAUCAGCUAGUUGGUGAGGUAACGGCUCACCAAGGCGAAGACGGGUAGCCGGCCUGAGAGGGUGAACGGCCACACUGGAACUGAGAGACGGUCCAGACUCCUACGGGAGGCAGCAGUGGGGAAUAUUGGGCAAUGGGGGAAACCCUGACCCAGCGACGCCGCGUGAGGGAAGAAGGCCUUAGGGUCGUAAACCUCUGUUGUGUGGGAAGAAGAGCGUGACGGUACCACACGAGGAAGUCCCGGCUAACUACGUGCCAGCAGCCGCGGUAAUACGUAGGGGACGAGCGUUGUCCGGAUUUACUGGGCGU